rnacentral:rRNA from 1 species
CUACGGGACGCAGCAGUAAGGAAUAUUGCGCAAUGGAGGCAACUCUGACGCAGCCAUGCCGCGUGCAGGAAGAAGGCCUUAUGGGUCGUAAACUGCUUUUAUUUAGGAAUAAACCCCCGAACGUGUUCGGGGCUGAAGGUUCUAAACGAAUAAGCACCGGCUACUCGGUGCCAGCAGCCGCGGUAAUACGGAGGGUGCAAGCGUUAUCCGGAUUUAUUGGGUUUAAAGGGUGCGCAGGCGGGCUAUUAAGUCAGUGGUGAAAUCCCGGGGCUCAACUCCGGAACUGCCAUUGAUACUGAUAGUCUUGAGUUUGGUUGAAGUGGGCGGAAUGUAGCAUGUAGCGGUGAAAUGCAUAGAUAUGCUACAGAACACCAAUCGCGAAGGCAGCUCACUAAGCCAAAACUGACGCUCAUGCACGAAAGCGUGGGGAUCAAACAGGAUUAGAUACCCCCGUAGUC